rfam:Plasmodium ovale wallikeri genome assembly, contig: contig181
UUUUAAUGAUGAUAUAGUACAAAUUAAUGGGUAAUUUACGUCUGAAAAUUACUGAUGAUUAAGUUUAUCUGAAAAAA